GACGAACGCUGGCGGCGUGCUUAACACAUGCAAGUCGAACGGCAAGGCCCUGCUUUUGUGGGGUGCUCGAGUGGCGAACGGGUGAGUAACACGUGAGUAACCUGCCCUUGACUUUGGGAUAACUUCAGGAAACUGGGGCUAAUACCGGAUAGGAGCCCCUGCUGCAUGGAGGGGGUUGGAAAGUUUCGGCGGUUGGGGAUGGACUCGCGGCUUAUCAGCUUGUUGGUUGGGUAGUGGCUUACCAAGGCUUUGACGGGUAGCCGGCCUGAGAGGGUGACCGGCCACAUUGGGACUGAGAUACGGCCCAGACUCCUACGGGAGGCAGCAGUGGGGAAUAUUGCACAAUGGGCGGAAGCCUGAUGCAGCAACGCCGCGUGCGGGAUGACGGCCUUCGGGUUGUAAACCGCUUUCGCCUGUGACGAAGCGUGAGUGACGGUAAUGGGUAAAGAAGCACCGGCUAACUACGUG
rnacentral:rRNA from 1 species